rnacentral:rRNA from 1 species
CGGGUGAGUAAUGUCUGGGAAACUGCCUGAUGGAGGGGGAUAACUACUGGAAACGGUAGCUAAUACCGCAUAACGUCGCAAGACCAAAGUGGGGGACCUUCGGGCCUCAUGCCAUAAGAUGUGCCCAGAUGGGAUUAGCUAGUAGGUGGGGUAACGGCUCACCUAGGCGACGAUCCCUAGCUGGUCUGAGAGGAUGACCAGCCACACUGGAACUGAGACACGGUCCAG